GAUGAAAUACCGGUUCUCGUUUGAUCACCGAAAUUAAGUAGUUCUGAGCUCGGUUAGUCCUUUGAUGGGGUUUCGCAUGGGAACACCGGCUACUGUA